AUCACUUUUUGGCCUUUUAGCUAAGGUUAAGCAUUGUUUCUCUUCUUAUAAGUUUAAUAAUUAAUAUGUCCCCUAGACAACUAUAUGUUAAAUGCAUUUUCGGAACAGGGAGUUGGACCAGGAGCUUGCUCUGUCCUCUUUAAUCAUUGACCUGAUAUUGCAGUAUUUCCUGUUAGAGUGCAGGGGGA